AUUCUGUAACGCUACAAUAUUUUCUCAGUUUCCAAAUUUACCCCUCCACCUGAUCCACUUGCUCGCACCGCUCACUCGCUUUCCGUCGCUGCACCACUCACUCGCUCGCUGGAAUCCCCUUCCCUCGUCGCCUCUCUCUCCUCUCGGUGGCCGGCCUCUCCUCUCCGUCGCCGCCUUCUCCCUCUCCUCGUUGCCGCCUUCCCCCACUCCUCGUCGCCGGCCUCUUCCACCGCCCCUUUCUCCCCACCACCCCGCCUUCACUCACACCCCGUAGGUUGAAAAAAUUGAUUCUUUUUGCGUUAGUGGCGGAGGCGUGGAUGUGUAGCGGCGCCAGAGCUGGAUACGGGCUACGUGGGCGUGGAUGUGGAGCGGCGCCGGACCUAGAGCGGCGGCGGAGCGGCGGAUCUGACAAGUCUGGGCAGCAGAGCGGCGGGCGGCGCCGGAGCCUCCAAGCGGAGCGGCACGGGAGGCCGAGGUGGGCAGGUGCCACCGGUGGCGGGACGAGCAUCUGGAGCAGGAGGGCGACGCCAAGCUCGGUUGGGGCCUCCUCGGGGACCGCUGCAGCGAGGUCUGCGCACUCAGUCUCUGAGUCCCCGCCGCGGCGAGUUGUACGUAUGCCAAGAACUUCUACGGUGGAGUGAAGUUGAGGUCUGGGAGAUCCAUUUUGUCCCGAAGAUAUGAAUAUGCAAGAAGAAGAAGUUGAGGUCUGGGAGGUCUGGGAGAUCCAUUUAGGAUAGCUGAAUUUACAGUAGUCAAAGCUUUGUUGUACAAGAAUUCAAAUAAACAUGAAUUUAUAGUAGUCAAAUUGUUGCUGUACAACAAUUCAAAUAAACCUGAAUUUGGAGUAGUCAAAUCUUUGUUGUACAACAAUUCAAACACAACUGAAUUUACAGUAGGAUAACUGAAUUUGGAGUAGUCAAUUCUUUGGACCAAUUACAGCAAAUUACAGUACUAAGGUGCUGUUGAGAUGACUACACUGCUGUCAAUUCAAAUAAACCUGAAUUUACAGUAGGAUAAUUGAAUUUGGAGUGGUCGAUUCUUUGGACCAAUUACAACAAAUUACAGUACUGAGGUGCUGUUGAGAUGAUUACACUGCUGUCAAUUCAAAUAAACCUGAAUUGACUUUGCUAGUGUUGUAUUUGUCCCCUUGGAUUAUUUGCAAAUUUUAUGUAGUCAAGCUUGCAAAUUGGAUUUGCUGUAGUCAACCUAUUACAUUUGCAUGUUCUGGAAAUUCAGUUAAUUUGCUACUCCUUUGCAAGAGGUAGAUGUAAAUGUUCAUAUGUUAAUUCAGUUAAUUUAUAUGCACCUAAAUUUGUACUGUGAACAGGAGUAGAUAACCAAGUACAGUACUAAGUUUUCUUGGAUUACAAGUGUACUGAAUUUAUAUAACUCCAUAUCCAGUCUUCUUAACUGCAGAUUUGGCAGCUCCACUAAAUAACUAAUGUAACUUAAUUUUUUUUGUCAUAUGAGAACUUAGUCCAUAAAGUUACUCCCAAUUUACUGACAAAUUACUCCUAGUGUUGACACUGUUGACUCGUAGUGUUCACACUACGACAACAACCUGUCAAAAUGACACUGACAA